UGGAUUAGGCAUGCAAGUCGAGCGAGAACCAGUCUUCGGAUUGGGGACAGCGGCGAACGGGGUAGGAUCACCUCGGUGACGUACCCCCCGAACGGGGAUAGCGGCGGGAAACUGCCGGUAAUACCCGAUAAUCUGCUUUUGUUUUACGAUAGGAGCAGCAAAGGUGUGAUUCCGUCGGGGGAGCGGCUGAGGUCGUAUUAGCUAGUUGGUAAGGUAACGGCUUACCAAGGCGAUGAUGCGUAGGGGGUGUGAGAGCAUGGCCCCCACCACUGGCACUGAGACACUGGCCAGACACCUACGGGUGGCUGCAGUCGAGAAUCUUCGGCAAUGGGCGCAAGCCUGACCGAGCGACGCCGCGUGCGGGAUGAAGGUCUUCGGAUUGUAAACCGCUGUCGGAGGGGAUGAAGUGCCGUCAAGUAAUUCAUAAUCUUGGCGGUUUGACAGAGCCUCGGAGGAAGCACGGGCUAAGUUCGUGCCAGCAGCCGCGGUAG
rnacentral:rRNA from 1 species